GCAUGGAAAAAAAAAGGUACAUAAAUCUCAAGAAAAACACACUACUGCUGAAAGUAAUUUUAGGAUUCUUAAUUGAGAGAGACAUUUAGUGCUGAAGAUCUGGGUUAACAUAACAAAUAAUAGCACUUGAACAUGAGGUGAUGAAUUGGCUAUAUCUGGAGCGGGCAGGGGGAUGGCGCGCACAGUCUUUCUUUUGCUAGAGCUGACACGAGUUGCUAAGGUGGUCAUGAUGGGAUGUGAAGGCAGCCUGUCUGUGUUUGUACACUAAGGCACCAGACUAGCUCUGCUGCCUCAAGCUCUGCUGCUGGUUCCUUUCUGGCUCCAUAGGUGUGUUAGCACCUGGCAUUUAGAAUGACCUUGUUUGUCAUAUUAGAACUGAGAUCUCAUGCCUAAAUUGUUUCUUGGGUUGUAUGAUCAAGCUAAGCAUAACCACUUUUUUAUGCAGUGACGCAACAAGAAAUGGAUCAGUAAGUAAGAUUGUCUGGGUAGCGUGAAGUUCAGACUUGCUGGUGCAGGUGCUGUGGAAGAUGCAACAUUGGUAGAGAUGGAUGAGUAAAAUAAACUACAGGCUUGAUCUGGCAUGUUAACAUGACUAUUUUUUUUUCUUUCUUUUUUCAACAGGGAGCAAAAUGCCUUCAGGGAAUAUUAUAAACUCUUCUGGUCAAGGUCUCUGUCUUUAUGGCCCACUUGUAUUCAGUGAGGUUAAAGAAGUUCUGAGAUCACACCCAAGAAAAUGGACAUCCAAGCUAUCUUUUAUUCACUACAUACUGCAUCAAAAAUAAACUUACUUCCCUUUGAGGAACAAAUACGGUGUUCAAGGAAAAAAAUAAUCUGUAUCUGGUAAGCAUGAAGUUUAUUCUUGGAAUUUGAACAAACCUUUUCUUCUGCCUUGUUCUGCCUUCUGCCCGUUCUGCCUUGAGUCAAGACAUCAGCUAAUUUCCUUAGGCUCUGUUGGAGAGGCCGUUCUUUAAUGUUUGAGCCUUUUCCUCUUCUCCCUAUGCCUGUGGUAAGGUUGGCAGCCAUUUGUUACUCUAUCUCCUAAACCAUUCAACCAGGAAAAUAAGCAUGAGGUACAUGUGAAAGUUUCUUAGGAUACAGAAAAUGAAGAGAAAUGGGGAGAUUGGUGGGAAAACUAGGUGUUCGAACAGAGCAGAGGCAUGAUUUGUGACGUUUGGUUUCUGUUUUGUUGCAUAGGCACUGGAGUUAAGAUAAACUCCGAAUAAUGAAACUGUAGAGGCUAUAGAGCAUGACCUGUUUGUAUGUUCUUACAGGCCCUGUCAGCAGCUACGUGCUGCAGUCAAUUCAAGGUAUGCCAUUAUAGGGUAGAUUCAGAUUACAUGUUAGGAAGAAAUUCUUCACUCAGAGGGUGGUGAGGCACUGGUACAGUUUGCCCAGAGAAGCUGUGGCUGCCCCAUCCCUGGGGUUGUUCAAGGCCAGGCUGGAUGGGGCUUUGGGCAGCCUGGGCUGGUGGGAGGGAGCCCUGCCUAU
rnacentral:lncRNA from 1 species